rnacentral:snRNA from 1 species
AUCGCAUCUCGGCCUCUUGGCUAAGAUCAAAGUGUAGUUUCUGUUCUUAUCGGCUUAGUCUCCGGUACGUUACCUAUUGGUAACAUCGAGAUUAACUGAUUUUUGAAAACCAGAUGGUUUUGCAGGGGCUUGCUCCUCGCCCAUCACGGGUCGGCCUGGCAUUGCACUGCCUUCAGGAUCGGCCCUUCCCUU